AAGCAGGGGCGUGAGAGGACUGCUGGUGACAAGUUUUCACUUGAUCAGCUGCUCAUCCCACACGGUUGCGCCGCGCUCUAGAGGUCAGGCUCGGUGUUUGGCGGCAACUUUUGGCUGCAAUUUCAAACCGAUACGACGGGGAAAGCUUUGAAUUCACAUAUCCUCGGAUGGUUAGAGAAAAUAAGCGUUUUUUGUUGGUUUGUUUGUUGUUGGUUUUUUUAGCUAAAUGAUUUUUAUUUGUCGAGCCGGGUUGUGUGCUCCUAAGCGGUAGGAACCUCACACACAAAGCCCAGCGCGUUUUCAGUCUGCAGAUGCAGCCGAGGGUCUGCUGAGCUGGAGGAGGGAUCUGACUGGUGCACAUUUUUUUUUUUUGGACGCAUGUGAAACGGCGCAGUCCAUGAUGAUGAAGAUGAUGAUGCUGGCUGCAGCUCUGCAGACAAUCGCGGCAGCUGAGUGAGCCGUGAGGUGCUGUCCAGGGUGCUGAAGAGUCGCCGUGUUUUCCCCUCCUCCUCCUUCUUCCCGCCGCACCCCCCACCCGUCCAGACUGCACGCGUGAACAGACGUGGAUGCCGAACAGCGCAACACGGCCCGAGUAAAUAAAUGGGACCGCACGUCGUCCGAGCGUUUGAGAGAUCAUGGAGAGAUUUUUCCUGCUCGUCCUCAGCGGCUGCCUCGGAGUCUCUCGAGUCACGGCGGAUAGCCUGUCGCCUCCCGUCAAUGUGACCAUCAAAGAGGUGAAAGCAAACUCUGCUGUGGUGUCAUGGGACAUCCCCGAGGGAGACCCCGUCAUUGGCUUUGCCAUCACACAGCAGAAGAAAGAUGUGCGCAUGCUGCGGUUGAUCCAGGAAGUCAACACCACCACGCGCUCCUGUGCAUUAUGGGACUUGGAGGAGGAGACAGACUACAUAGUGCACGUCCAGUCCGUCAGCAUGUCCGGGACGAGCCCGCUGAGCGAACCGCUGCGCUUCCGAACCCCAAAGGAGGCCGAGACGCAGGCCUCUAAGAACGAAGUGACCAUGGAGGAGGUGGGUCAGGCGACCCAGCUGAGGGCUGGAGAGCUCAUCAUCAUUGUGGUCGUACUCAUCAUGUGGGCAGGUGUGAUUGCCCUCUUCUGUCGUCAAUAUGACAUAAUCAAAGACAACGAGCCCAACAACAACAAGGACAAAGCCAAAAACUCCUCGGAGUGCAGCACUCCUGAACACCCGAGGGGGGGCCUGCUGCGCAGUAAGGUAUAACCCACCCCUCUGCUCCUCCUCCUCCCCCCUGGGCGCCUCCCCCUCUCAGCGACGCUGGCCAGUUCCCCAAGAACAACAACAACAACAACAGGUUGCCAUCUGUCAACAUCAUUGAGGUGUGACUGCCGUUAAGUCUUUUCUUUACUCAGAAGACUUCAUGCAAACAACGAGCCCCUUCUAGGUCCGUCAGCUGUCAGGAUGACGCUGGGACAGAGGGACUCUAGGCGUGCAGGCGCCGCUUUCUCUUCUUCAACACCGGUUCUGGUGUGGAGCUGGGACUCCAGGGGACGUGGCGGAAUGAGGCCGAGCUCGGCCUCGUUUUCCAGGAGAGCAGAAAGACUGCAGGAAGAGUUCAGCAGCGGGUCUGUGCUCGGUGACAGUACAUUGGGGUCACGGUUUUUAGUGCUGUGGAGAGACUGCAGACGAACCGACCCCAGGGACCAAGGCUGAUCAAACAGAGCCAGAAACCGUUACCGGAAGAAUUUGUACUUAACUUUUUCUGGGUGGUACUUUAAGCUUCUUUUAACGCUUAUUUCCUCAUGGGCUUACCCCUGCGUUUGAUGUUUUGGUAUCUGUUUGGGCUUUAUUUUUCAGUAAAUCUCCAAGUGCAGAGACUCUUUGCUGUUCUGGUACAUUUGUAUUCCCCCCCUCAGGGAAUCCAGACUCCACCCGGGUAACAAAAAGAGCCAUUUCCACUACAGGCUGCAAUGUCACCAGAGCAGCUUUAGAGGGAUCAGUCGGCUAAAAUCACUCACAGUCAUUAACUCGUAUAUAUGACAUAGUUCUUCAAGUCUGGCCUGUAAUUUCUCUCGUCUUUUUUUAUUAUAGACUUCUAAAAUGUAACAUUCCUCUCCCUGAACGAGCCCUUUAGUACCUCCUGGUGUCUUUCUUUUUGAGCGUGAUGGAUUUCACGUCAUUUUUGUGAGCAGCAGAACUCCCCUAAUGGAGUUCAUUCAUCUAAUUAACUAUGAACGGGGCUGGACUCUGCGGACGUCUGAGGAGAAGAGAUCCCUUCAAUCAGCAAUAACAGCCCCUCAGAGGAAACGAAGGAAGUCCGGACUUGAACUCUGGAUCCUCUGGAAAAAGGAAAACUGUCAGCAUGUCACGGAUGAACAAACUGGACGUUCAAGUAUGCUGGAAUAAACCUUGGGUAUCAUUUUUAAGUGAUCCUCAAAAAAGCCUUUUCAGCUGUGUUGAAAAAAAAAUAAAAAUAUUUCUCUUGGCAAGCAUGGAAAAAAAUAUUUUUUAAAUCGGGCCCAACUGGGGAACCCUGAGACUUCUUUACGGCAUCCUGAACAGAUGUUGAGACAGAAGGGCUUCUUUCAAGACUUUUUGAAUUAUUAUUACGAACAUGUGUUUAAAGUCCAUGGUAAUGAAAAUAGCUAUUGUGGUAAGCGCAUACAUGAUGUAUUUGAGGGCUGAUUUACACUCAGUAGUACUGCCUUAACAAUUGUAUCCCAUUACUUACAAGAUGUUGUAUCUCACUUUUGUGACAUUACAUUUACCUUUCACCCAGUAUUUAAAUGUUUGUGCAAAGUGAAGGGAAAACAUAACAUGCAGGUUGGAGGAAUUGGCAAGUAUCUGAUUUGUAAAUACAUUUUAAAUGUCUUAUUUAGUACAGUCGGUCUAUAGAGGCUUUGUGGAAUAAGGUUGAUGUAGAAAAUGUCUCGAUUUGUAGGGAAGCUAGGAGAUCACAUUUUGUCAAAAUUGUUCAGUUUUAUGAAAAGGAUUUUUCAAAAAAGAAAAAAAAAACA